UAAUUAAGUCACCGCUGAGGAUGAAGUUGUUCAACAGCAUCAUAUGUCAAUAUUCAAACAAUAGUGUUUUUUUAAAGCAAUAUUUAAAAUAAUAUUUGGGUGAUUAUAAUACGAUUCUUUGUACUUUUGUUUUUUCCAGCUAUGUUUGCCUGAGGAAGAGGGCUGCUUUCCUUGAGUAAAUUGUAUCCCUACAAAGAAAAUGAAACCAUUGGAAGAGAUCUUUCAUUUGCUGCCAAAACAAUGAGAAAAAAUCAGUGCGGCCCGCAAGAUUGAUAUGAAUGACACUUGCUGUGAGCAGAGCUGAACGAACCAAUCACGGGAGGUGUAUGGCUCUGGAGGGCGGGACAUCGGUGGGCUGUCCAGUACCUCCUCACUCAUUCCUUUAUUUUUCCAGUCAGCUGGGCGGAGGAGGAGCCAAGAAGCCGCUGAGGGUGCCUUCACACGGAAUGCGAUUCUCGAGACAAAUUUGCGUGCCCUCCUCUCACAGUGAAUUCUCUGCUUGCCGCUUGUCAAAAAAUGUGUUUCUGAUGCCACGCAGCGUGUGGGAGGAGCUACAAGCUCUGUCUGUGGAUGUCUGUAAUGAAUUCUCCAAUGAAUGGAAGACACGAUCAGGUUUAUUUAUUGUGAAGAGUUCUAAAAAAAUCUACAAAAAUGAAAUCCCUCAAAGAUUUUCUCGUUAUUGGGACUUCUAUCUCUCUCAGGGGGUGUGUCUGGAUGACAGCCGUUUCCACUGUGUUUGGGUCUCUGUGACUGAGUUUGAAGCUGUCCCGCAUUAACCUGGGGGGGGGCUGCAGCCAGAGAACCACCGCACUGCGACAGAACAAAAUGCUCAUAUUAGAUUAGUAUUCUAGCAUUCUGAUCUUUUCACUGAAAAUGUCCCAUGCCCAUAGCUUAGUGCCUGAUUGGCUGAUGUGACUCAGCGACCUGUCAAAUUUCAGUUAUUUACAUUUUGGCCGUGCCGCCCAAUUCGCACCUCGCCGCUCAAAUCGAGCUGCUGGCAUCUGGCGCCACGUUGGUCGCUCAUAUCGCGCCGCAGGGCUUCAAUUCGCCCCAGAGCGCGCCUGUGUUGAUUUACACUGGAGCUGGCCACCUCUGCCGCGCGAAUCACGUUUGCUGUGAAAGCACCUUGAUGACUCCUAGGGCUGUAACGAGUAUCCGGGUGAUCGGGUACUCGCGAUCUGCUCGCGAAAAUUGGAGUACGAAUAUUUGCGACGUCCAAAAUCACUGAUUCGCAAUCUUUAUCAAUGUUUAUUCCUGUUCUAAAUAAAGGUAUAAAUGAUGAUUAAAUACAAAUAAUUUUCUUCUGAAAAUCCUGAUGCGGCCCAGCCUCACCCAGACUCUGCCUCCAGCGACCCCCGGCUGAAUUGAGUUUUAGACCCCGCCUGAAACGGUGCAUUGUUAUGUCAUAUAAAUUUCAUUUUGUGAUUAUUCACAAAUAAGUGGUCGUCAAAUACUGUAAAUAAAAUUAAAAAAUGCUAUUAAUUUUGCCUCAGAUUUGCAAUUAAUUUGUUAACUUUUUUAAUCGAUUCGCGGCCCUAAAAAAUUAUAUUUAAACACUUUUAUUUUUAUCUGCAAUUAAGUAAAUAAUUGAUACGUUUGUUUACAGCUGUGUGAAGCCCUCAAGGUUUUGUUUCCAAAACUGGCAACAGUUACAGGUGGUUGGUUGUUGUAUGAAUGUCCAGGUAGGAAAUAUUGAGUUUCAAUUCAGUGCCAUGUGAUCUGCUUUGCAUAUUGAUUCACCUUAAUAAGUUAAGACAUUAUUUGAUGUAUCUGUAAUUUCAUUACAUCAUAAUUUAUCAUAAAAGCAUAGUUGGCUAUCUUUUUUUGUCUUAAGACUGAUUUUCUCACGGCCAUGUUGUGUUUUGCAGGUCAGCUGUCACUCCUCCUGGAUACUUCCUCUGUGGAGUGCACAGCUGCCUGCACUUUGUAAUUAAGACUAUUUUGGUUCCAAACUUUCAGUCCUCGGUGGUGGUGCGUCCCCGUUAGGACCGUGAGUUUCCUGUUUUAGUCGACACUGAAGUUUGUGAGUCUUCAGAUUUUUCUUAGUCUUUCGUCUUUCCUUUGUCCUUAGUUUGUUUUUGUCCUUCUGCAGUUUUCGCUCUUGUGAGGUGUUUUUAUGUUAUUAAUUAAAAUAUGUCUGCUGCAUUUCAAGCCUGAUUCUCUCUGCACCUGGGUUCUUGUCACUCCAGGCAUCACAGCUUUAGAUUAUUUUGUCCUGGAUAGUAGUCAUACUGUAGUCAAAGUUGCUUUCAUUCUUUUGUAUGAUUUAAAGUACUAAUCUAACUAAGUUUAAAAGCUAAUCUUUCCCUUAAAGAUUUUAUACAGGUGGCUGGGGGAGCCGAAAACUCUCUUUAGUUCCACCUGAUGAUCCUGGCUACACAGACAAGAACUUCAAAUUGACAGUGUCUUCACAAGGUAGAGAGUUUGGGAUGUACAGUUCAGUUCAUCUGGGUUCCGGCACAUGUUGGGAUCACAGGCAAUGAGACUGCGGAUGCUCUGGCCAAGGGGUCACUUGCAAGUUACAUAUGGAGAACAGGUGCACUCCAGCCACAUCUGGUGACUUUAAAAAGAGCACCAGGUACAGCAGCAAGACACACAGAGAUGCACAGACACAGAGGCACAUAGAAGACACGCAGGCGGGGGUCCCCACGUCUCCCGGAGCCAUGCCGCCCUGGGAGCGGGGUGACCACCGGUCCUCCCUAGACGGCACAAGCUUUAGCCACCUGAUGUGACGCGCUUGGAGUCAAGGAAGGGGAGAGUCAGCUGGAGCGGCAGAGGGGUGUGGUUGCGACCCACCCCUCUUUGAGCUAAGUACCCCUUCCUUGUCCUUCCUGAAUGGCUUUUUUUAAGAGCAGUGUCUUUCCUUUUAGCUGCAAUGGGAGGAGUGCAUGCCAGGGCCUGUUUUAUACUUUGUGCAUGUUUUAUCAUUUUUACUAAAGCUUUUAUUGUUUUGUAUUCAGGCACCUGAUGUUUAUAUUUCUCUACUCAAACUCCUCCCAAUGGACAGCAUGGACUCCAAUCCAGG